AUUGAACGCUGGCGGCAGGCCUAACACAUGCAAGUCGAGCGGAUGAAGGGAGCUUGCUCCUGGAUUCAGCGGCGGACGGGUGAGUAAUGCCUAGGAAUCUGCCUGGUAGUGGGGGAUAACGUCCGGAAACGGGCGCUAAUACCGCAUACGUCCUGAGGGAGAAAGUGGGGGAUCUUCGGACCUCACGCCAUCAGAUGAGCCUAGGUCGGAUUAGCUAGUUGGUUGGGUAAAGGCCUACCAAGGCGACGAUCCGUAACUGGUCUGAGAGGAUGAUCAGUCACCCUGGAACUGAGACACGGUCCAGACUCCUACGGGAGGCCGCGGUGGGGAAUAUUGGACAAUGGGCGAAAGCCUGAUCCAGCCAUGCCGCGUGUGUGAAGAAGGUCUUCGGAUUGUAAAGCACUUUAAGUUGGGAGGAAGGGCAGUAAGUUAAUACCUUGCUGUUUUGACGUUACCAACAGAAUAAGCACCGGCUAACUUCGUG
rnacentral:rRNA from 1 species